GCUCACUUCGGCAGCACAUAUACUAAAAUUGGACACAUACUAAAACUGGAACAAUCCAGAGAAGAUUAGCAUGGCCCCUGCACAAGGAUGACAAGCAAAUUCAUGAAGUGUUCUGUAUUUUU
ensembl:snRNA U6 U6 spliceosomal RNA